rfam:Aedes albopictus isolate Foshan contig162284, whole genome shotgun sequence.
GGCUCGGUAGCUUAGUUGGAAAAGCACUUGUCUAGCGAAUAAGGGUCGUGAGUUGAAAUCUCACCUGAGUUG